UACGUAGGGUGCGAGCGUUACUCGGAAUUACUGGGCGUAAAGCGUGCGCAGGCGGUUUUGUAAGCCAGAUGUGAAAUCCCCGGGCUCAACCUGGGAAUGGCAUUUGGGACUGCAAGGCUCGAGUGCGGCAGAGGAGACUGGAAUUCCUGGUGUAGCAGUGAAAUGCGUAGAUAUCAGGAGGAAUACCGAUGGCGAAGGCAGGUCUCUGGGCUGACACUGACGCUCAUGCACGAAAGCGUGGGGAGCAAACAGG
rnacentral:rRNA from 1 species